GAGGAGGAGGUUAGCCUUGAUGGCCAGGUGGUACCUCGGAAGGACACCUUUCGGUAUUUGGGGUCAAUGUUGCAGGAGGAUGGGGGUAAUGAUGAAGAUGUGAACCAUCAAAUCAAAGCUGGAUGGAUGAAGUGGCGCCAAGCUUCUGGCAUUCUCUAUGACAAGAGAGUGCCACAAAAGCUAAAAGGCAAGUUCUACAGGACGGCAGUUCGACCCGCAAUGUUGUAUGGCGCGGAGUGUUGGCCGACUAAAAGGCGACAUGUUCAACAGUUAGGUGUGGCGGAGAUGCGUAUGUUGAGAUGGAUGUGUGGCCACACGAGGAAGGAUCGAGUCCGGAAUGAUGAUAUACGAGAUAGAGUUGGGGUAGCACCAAUUGAGGAGAAGCUUGUCCAACAUCGUCUGAGAUGGUUUGGGCAUAUCCAGCGCAGGCCU
rnacentral:rRNA from 1 species